GGGGGCUGAUAGUGGACGAGCAGCUCGCUAAUCCGGUCAGAUCCGGAAGGAAGCAGCCGUAACGAGAUUUGUUUGGGUUAUUAUUCAGUCUCCCGC
rnacentral:SRP_RNA from 2 species